rnacentral:lncRNA from 1 species
GGGGCAAUCUUAAAAUGAUCGAUAUAAACUCAUAUAAAGUUUAAUGCUUUAUAAACGAAAGUGUUACAAUUCAUUAUACUUCAUUAUAUCAGGAAUGAAAAGUGGGGAAUUACCAGUAAUUCUUUGUACAAAAUGAAAAGGAACAGCUCUGAUAUAUGUUUAUAUUGUUUUAUUCUAUCUUCUUAUAGACACCAUUGUACACAUGGUACACAUAAGCGUCUCCUAAAGGUCGUGCAUGCACGUGUGCUAGAGAUGGUGGAAGGGUGUUGAAAUCAGAUUAACCAAAAUAGAAGUCUUUUGAUGACAAAAAUUGGAAACAAUUCAGAUUUGAAAAGCAAUGUUAAUGCAGAUUGAAUGAAAAUACUAAACUUGCUUCAAGGGUGGAUUUCUGCCAUUUUACAUUAAACAAUUGUAACAAAUAGCCAUAUAAGACCCAAUUGUUCAUCUUCUGGUUAUGAAUACCCAUGGUUAAAUCUUCUAAUCAAUGUUUACUUCACCAUGGGUUAAAAUUCGGUUGCUUAACUUAUUUUUAAACUGCU